rnacentral:lncRNA from 1 species
GGUUUGUCUCUGAACUACUUGAAAAAGAUAUCACAAACGUGGUGGUCCAUGUGUAAGUAGUAUUCUACAAUAAGCUGUCGUGGUUUGUGUUUGAACUACCUGAAAAAGAUAUCUCAAACGUGGUGGUCCAGUGUAAGUGGUAUUCUACAAUAAACUGUCGUGGUUUGUACGUGUCUGAACUACUUGUAACUUGAAAACAUCUCUUAAACGUAG